rnacentral:rRNA from 1 species
UACGGAGGGUGCAAGCGUUGUUCGGAAUUAUUGGGCGUAAAGCGCGCGCAGGCGGUGAAGUAAGUCUAGAGGUGAAAGGCCGGGGCUCAACCCCGAGCUGGCCUCGGAUACUGCUUUACUGGAGACAUGUAGAGGCGAGCGGAAUUCCGGGUGUAGCGGUGGAAUGCGUAGAGAUCCGGAAGAACACCGGAGGCGAAGGCGGCUCGCUGGGCAUGGUCUGACGCUGAGGCGCGAAGGCGUGGGGAGCGAACAGGAUUAGAUACCCCCGUAGUCC